rnacentral:tRNA from 1 species
GUGAAUUUAGUUUAAUAGGAAAAAACAUUUGCUUUGCAAGCAGACUUUGAAAGUUUAAAUCCUUCAAUACACA